rnacentral:lncRNA from 1 species
AAAAAUCCCAGCUUUACUUGGUAAAUUUCAGUUGUUAAGUAUCUUGUAGUAUUAAAAGAUUUAAUACUAUUGCUUUUCCUUAGAAUAUAUUAAAGCAAUAGUAUUGUUUCUGCUUACAAUAUUGUAAAUAUUGGUUUCAGUUAGCAUAAACAUCUAAUUUUUUGCUCUUAGACCACUAAGAGAGAUACAAGUGGUGGAUUUCAGAGAACUUCCUGAACCAUUGAAAAGCAGGAGAAAGUACGCUUCUGUAAUCCUGUCACAUCUGUUCUAAAGGAUUCCAGGGACUCUGACCUGCGACUCAAAAAACUGACAUCACAAGGCACCAAACUUCCCCGAAAGCUGAGGAAAAAUAAGCACCUUCAAGAAGAGAAAAGACAAAAGCACUGACCUUGUGGCAAAGCACAGGAGGAAGGGAAAGCUACUAUGCAAGUAAGCAAGAAGGAUCCAGGAAGAGAGAGAGGAAUGUAAGAGAAGACAGUCACUAUGUUGAAGAGAAGUUUAGAGGACUGCCCAGAGUAAAGAAAUCCCCUUCCAAGUGUUUCUCCUGCAGCCUUGGCAAAAAUAUACACAUCAGGGAUACAGGGAUCGAACUCGGGACCUUGUGCCUGCAAGGCAGGCGGUGGAACCACUGAGCUAAAUCCCCAGCCCUCAUAAGUGGGCUUUUAAGAAGUGAUUGGAUAAUGGUGGCAUGAUACUCGUCAGUGGAUUAGUCUACUGACAAAAUUUCUUGAAAAGCCUGAAGUCAGG